GAUGUUCUAACGUGGACCCGUUACCCGGGUUGCGGACAGUGUCUGGUGGGUAGUUUGACUGGGGCGGUCUCCUCCUAAAGAGUAACGGAGGAGCACGAAGGUUGGCUAAUCCUGGUCGGACAUCAGGAGGUUAGUGCAAUGGCAUAAGCCAGCUUGACUGCGAGCGUGACGGCGCGAGCAGGUGCGAAAGCAGGUCAUAGUGAUCCGGUGGUUCUGAAUGGAAGGGCCAUCGCUCAACGGAUAAAAGGUACUCCGGGGAUAACAGGCUGAUACCGCCCAAGAGUUCAUAUCGACGGCGGUGUUUGGCACCUCGAUGUCGGCUCAUCACAUCCUGGGGCUGAAGUAGGUCCCAAGGGUAUGGCUGUUCGCCAUUUAAAGUGGUACGCGAGCUGGGUUUAGAACGUCGUGAGACAGUUCGGUCCCUAUCUGCCGUGGGCGCUGGAGAACUGAGGGGGGCUGCUCCUAGUACGAGAGGACCGGAGUGGACGCAUCACUGGUGUUCGGGUUGUCAUGCCAAUGGCACUGCCCGGUAGCUAAAUGCGGAAGAGAUAAGUGCUGAAAGCAUCUAAGCACGAAACUUGCCCCGAGAUG
rnacentral:rRNA from 1 species